rnacentral:rRNA from 1 species
GAUGAACGCUGGCGGCGUGCCUAAUACAUGCAAGUCGAGCGAACGGACGAGAAGCUUGCUUCUCUGAUGUUAGCGGCGGACGGGUGAGUAACACGUGGAUAACCUACCUAUAAGACUGGGAUAACUUCGGGAAACCGGAGCUAAUACCGGAUAAUAUUUUGAACCGCCUGGUUCAAAAGUAAAAGACGGUCUUGCUGUCACUUAUAGAUGGAUCCGCGCUGCAUUAGCUAGUUGGUAAGGUAACGGCUUACCAAGGCAACGAUGCAUAGCCGACCUGAGAGGGUGAUCGGCCACACUGGAACUGAGACACGGUCCAGACUCCUACGGGAGGCAGCAGUAGGGAAUCUUCCGCAAUGGGCGAAAUCCUGACGGAGCAACGCCGCGUGAGUGAUGAAGGUCUUCGGAUCGUAAAACUCUGUUAUUAGGGAAGAACAUAUGUGUAAGUAACUGUGCACAUCUUGACGGUACCUAAUCAGAAAGCCACGGCUAACUACGUG